CUCCAGCCCAGUUUAAAAAAGAAAAAUGAAAGACAGACCAGAAAGAAAGAAACAUGAAAGAAAGAAAAAAAAAAAGACACAAGGAGCUCCGAAGAGGAGGCAACGGAGAGAACACACCCAACUCCACUGCCGUUUGGGAGAAAUUCUCGAAUAGAGCUGGAUGGGGACUCUGAUGGUUACCGAGGCAACGAUGAUAGCACUAAGCUAUUUCCCUCUCUGCAAGGAGACCAUUAUUCCGCAUGCAUAGGCCAUUUGCAACAGAGGUCGUCACAAAGUCAUCCACGACACAGCACACGUUUAUUAAAC